CCUACGGGCGGCAGCAGUGGGGAAUAUUGCACAAUGGGGGAAACCCUGAUGCAGCGACGCCGCGUGAGCGAUGAAGUAUCUCGGUAUGUUAAGCUCUAUUAGUAGGGAAGAAAAUGACGGUACCUGACUAAGAAGCCCCGGCUAACUACGUGCCAGCAGCCGCGGCACUACGCAGGGGGCAAGCGUUAGCCGGAUUUACUGGGCGUAAAGGGAGCGUAGACGGUCCUACAAGCCAGAUGUGAAAGCCCGGGGCGCAACCCCGGGACUGCAUUUGAAACUGUAAGGCUAGAGUGUCGGAGAGGCAGGCGGAAUUCCUAGUGUAGCGGUGAAAUGCGUAGAUAUUAGGAAGAACACCGGUGGCGAAGGCAGCCUGCUGGACGAUGACUGACGUUGAGGCACGAAAGCGUGGGGAGCAAACAGGAUUAGAUACCCGUGUAGUC
rnacentral:rRNA from 1 species